GCAAGGGAGAUACCGUGAUCAAGAAGGCGGUUCACCCAGGGCGAGGCUCAGCCAUUGCACUCCGGCUGUGCUGACCCCUGCGAAUUUCCCAAAUGUGGAAAUCUCGAUUGCAUAAUUUAUGGUAUUGGGGGACUGCGUUCGCGCUCUCCCCUG
rnacentral:snRNA from 8 species